GGCCGCCGCCCCCCAAGGGGCAGGGCGUGCUGCUUGAGGUGGUCCUGGGCUGGCGCUGCUUUCGGGGGUACUGGCUCGGGUCCUUUACACCAGGGGUUUUCCAGUUCCUGGAAAAAAACUCGUGUUUUGGGGGUGUGGGAGAUGAGUGUGAGGCUGUACGAGAGCCGUGCUGUGCAGCAGACAGGCUGUGCCGGCGUGUGAAACAACAGCUGCAGGCUUCAGGGACAAAAACUAGGGGAAAAGAGGAGCUGAGCAUUCAAUUAACUAUGAGGUAGAAAAUCAGUAGAAAACUUUCCCUGAGAGGAAAAUGAGUUGAUACGUGCAAACUGGACUCUUAUUAGGAAGGAGGAGUAGCUACUUCCUUGAGGCAGCUUAGUUUGUGGCCUUUAGCAUGGGAAGGCUUCAUUGGGGUGUGAAGAGUUACAAUGUAUUACAAAGUCAAUCUCCACAGCCUUUGAUAUCCUGUACGCGUGUUACAGUAGAAGAAAAACAUUGAAAAAAAGUAACUGCAUGUGCUCAUGGCAGCUGCUCUGCUUCUUUAGAAACUAUUCAAGUGCUGAUACUUAGGAAAGCAGGUCUAUAUUUCACUUAUUUCCAGAAGAAAAUCUCAAGUUCAGAGCAGCAAGUCAGACAAGGGUUUGUCAUCUUUGAGAUUUCCCCCUUAAGAAGUGGGAUUAGAUUUCCAAGAGACUUUUGCACCUACAAAUAUGUACAGACUAAGAACUGACAGAAGGCACUACUUCCAGAUGCAUUUCCUCAGUCUUGCAGGUGCCAAUGCUAAAGGAUAAUUCCAGAGUUUCACUUCUGGAAAUAACUUGAAACUUGUAACUCAAAGGAGAAGAAUAUGAGGUACAAGCAGUUACUUGUUGAGGAGGAGAAUAAAGCCUAGAACUAUUUUUAUUGACUACUUCCCACUUUGAUUGCACCUGAUGCCUCUCUCUGAUUUUUUUGAAACAUUCAUCUGAGCUCAGAUGCCUGUGAAAUGUUACAUCUCUGGACUUUUCAUUUCAGCCCUUCUAAACUCCACACCCACUUCUUCUGCUGACAUGUUGAACACCUGUGUGAGAUGGUGCUUUUGAAAAUGGGUACCAGAAUAAUAUUGUCCAAUGUUUUGUGGCCCCACUGAAGACCCUGUGACUUCCAAGAAACUCCAGAGAAAUUGAUUCUGAUCCCCAUCCUGCUAAGCCUCAGUGCAGUGCAAUGUACUUAACUCCAAGAGCCGCGACUGACAAGCCUUGGUUGCUGCCACUUGCUGCCUUUCGUCUGGAUCCAGUGUUUCCAGUCAGCCAGCUUGAAUUAAUUUACCAUUGGAAACAAGGAGGCCCCAUUCCUACAGAUUUAUCUCUCUUCCAAAAUGAAGCACCCAUCACCUACUGAUAAUGGAGAAAGAGAGGCUGUGAUCCUGCAGCUGUGAGACCAUGCAGAAAUGGUAGGAGAGACUCAGAAGUGUUUAGUUCCCCAUUAAGAAGCUGAGAGAGGGAGUUUUUCAGUGCAGAGCAUUAGCUAUAAAGAGACUUUGAUCUGUGAUUAGAGAAACCGACCCGUCUUGUAUCUGUUCUUUGUAAAAUAGGCAAUGAAAAGGAGUAUAUUCUUGCUAUGUAGGAUUGUAGCCAAACUUGCUUAUUAACUACUCCUAGAGGUGAAGAACUUAACUGUUGACUAACUACUUGAGCCAGAAAGCACAGUGGUAUUUGUGUAUUUUUUUUUUUUUGUUCUUUGUUUCAAACAUGUUCUCUGCUUUUCAUUGUGUGGGUUUUUUUGUUUCUUUGUUUGUUUUGAGAGAGAGACAAUAGCAAUACAUGCCCAUGGAAGAACUGACAAUGUAUAGCCUUGUACACUGUAUCUUGGCAGACAAGUAGGUGCAGCUCUGGCAUCUCAUUUUUUGUUCUCUAGACCGAUACUGACAGUAAACAAAAGAAAUGCUGUGUGCUAGAAUUUUUUUUAUUCCUACUUUUGCCAAGACCAUCUUACUUAAUGCUAUUGUUACUAAAAAUUUUGGCACAGAGAGAGCACAUAAGAUAUACCCUCUUCACCUUGUAUUUUAACUAAUAAGCUCAUUUAUUCUUCUUUAAAAUGGCUAUUUUGGAAAUGCUGUUAUUGUUUAAAACAUCUUCCCUUUUCUAGAAUAAGGGCAUAGUUUGUGUGAACAAAAAGCUCAGAAUACAAACAGCUGUUUUAAUGUGAAGCUAGAGAAAAAUAAUGCUAAUUCCAUACAGUAGUAAAGAUUUCAGAGCUUCAGUCUCAUUAUAGCAAUUCGUUUGGUCUGAUUUUAAUGUACUGUUUGCCCUAGAAAUUUCAAGACUCUAGUUUCUCCUAGACUUUUUUUUUUUUUUGAGAGAGAGAGUCUAAAAGACCCCUUGUACCUAAGAUUUAAUUCUUAAACUUUAUUUUAUAGCACAUGAGCAAGUGAACAUGGGAAAUGGAUUAGAAUUCUUCAAGAAGAUCUAAGAUGGUACUUUACAUGGCUUCAAAGAACCUAUGAAGUAACUUAAGAAUUUCUCUGUUGCUCUAGAUAGAAAUUUUGAUGUGAUAACACUGUUCUUCAAAAACUAACUUCAGACCCAUACACCGUGGGGAGUAUAGGGAAGAUUUGGAAUCCAAACCUUUAGUUUUCAAUACAGUCAGUUAGUAAACUGUCCCCAUUAUUUCUUUGCAUCUAAUCCUUCUGUUCUCUUGCUAUCUUUUUUGGCAUUCUCUAGGCAUCUCUUUUCACUUAGAAUCCACAAUCUAGAACACUCUUUUUGUAAAUUAUUCUCAAACUUAUUUCUGAAGGAAGAAUUAAAAUCUGUUCUUUAACUAACUGCCUUCUGCUUAGGCUGCCUGUCCAGCAGGUGAGAAAAUUUUCUCCCAAACCUGAAGAGUGAUGGAAUCAGAAGACUACAAGCUGUCCUGGAAAGUAGGAAUUCAGCCCCUUUUUACUCCUGUGGAAGCUGCACCAGCCUGCAGGUUGGAAAAAAAUCGUUGAUCAGUAAACCCAAGAGAGAUCAUCAGGAGGGACUAAACGUUUGAGGAAUGAAGUGAGCAUCUGUGAUCCAAAAGCCAAAGCCCACCAGAAGAGAAUGGACUGAAUGAUCAGAGAGUCUCCCAGAAAACUUGGUAUGUAAUAAAUAAAUAAAUGAACAACCAUCACCCCAACAACAAAAAACACAACCAAGAAAGCCAAAUUUAAUUACGCUUCUAGAAUUCUAACUGAUCCAAUUUCCUAGAAGACUCAUCGCACACUUGAAGAACAUCUGGAAAUUCUAUUUUACGUUUAACGUGGCUUCUGUCAUUCUUAGAAUGAAAAGGCAAGCUGAAAGUAGGUCUCCAUUCUUAAUUCCUUCUGCAGAAGUACACGUCAGCAGCUGGAGCUACUUUACAUAGGAUUUAAACAACAGUAAACAAAAACAGAUUAGAAAGGCUGCUAAAGCCUCAACCACAAUGCUCAGUUUAGCAUCAAUUUUACAAUCUGCCUACCACUGUCUAAGACCCAAAGGGGCAGGAUUUCGGCUUGAAAAGCUGGCUAACUGCAAUGCCUGGAGAAUCUGAACAUUUCACAGUCACAGGGAAGUAUAAUCCUUAAUCUGUAAAUGAAGAACUACUGCCCCAAAAGUCACUGCGAAUUGAAUACGGUUUUCAGGUCCCCAGGAUGGGAGCAGGGUCUCCUUCUUGCCAGCAUCGUUCACAGUUUAAAUAAUGACUUGCUUGCAGGUGCUUAUUGAGGAGUAGAAGUCACUCAGAACAGAGGCAUCCACUAGACCCAGAGCAGGACCCAUGUACUAGGCUGUGGCUGCUCAGGCACUUAUACAAGUAUGCUCUGAUCAGCAGCACGAACCACAAAUAGUGCCCAGCAAUUGGCGAGUGGCAGAUGCCUGAAUCCCAUGUUUUUCAUCUCAGUUCAAUCUCCUUGACUCAUGCAUCCUGUCUACGCUAAUGUUAGUUUCCUGAUUGCAGUGUGUCUGCAGCUUUGGAGUGUCAACAAGUGCCUGAGCCAUCCCAGAAAGCUUGCUCCUCCUCUCUGGUCUUCAGUUUUGCUUGGUUUUAAUGGCUCUCUCAAAGCUACCUUGUUUUGCCAAUCUACAUCUGGACUCUUACACUGGAAUGGCAGUACACUUUCUCCUCUAUUUUUAAAAUAAUUAUUUUGAUGGUCCAGAAUAUUCUGCUUUGACAUCUCAGAAGAAUAUGAGCUACUAGCCACUAAGUUAUACUCACCUGCCAUAUUCAUUACACUACCACAUUCUCCCACUUGAAUGAAACACCCCAAACAGGAAGAUCUGACCUAGAAUAGACUGUUGCUUGUUUGGGAGGUGCUCGUGUCUUCAUUUCCCCUAUAAUCUGAAAUUCUCCUGUCCCAAUUGUUGUCACAUUCUAGAUAGCGUAGUAGACUUCCAUUAAGACCAUUUAUGAGUUGCAUUUUUCUUGCAAACUCAUUAACAGCAUUCACUAGGGAUAAAAAAUAGUUGUCUUUUUCUUCUCCAUUUAAAGUAUACAGCUAAUACAAAACUCAAAUUAGGAUCACUACUACUUAUAAAACAAAAACAAAAUAGCACAGCAAGAAGCAAAGUAAAAGUACGUGACAGAGUUGUAAAAGUGCAUUAUUAAACUACUCGUCAGAACUUUAGAUGCAUUCCCUUCCACCUUCAGCUAUUUACUACAGAGCCCUUUUCCUUACCAUUAUUUCAAAUAUUUGCCUCCAAGCCUUGUGAUGGGGCACUACUCUCACCCGCAUUUUACAAAAGAUGGAACCAACAAGCUCCAUGCAGCCAAGACUCCCGAGUCCCAGCACAACACUACUUUCUGCUCUGGAUCAUUUUGAUAUGUUUUGUUUGUUUGUUUGUUUGUUUUUCCCCCAGUAAGCUUAUGUGGAACUAUGAACCUAAAGUUGCAAUUAUGCUCAAAGGUUUUUAAACAAAUCAAAGCUCAGGUCCCAGGAACUCUGCUCAAACAGCCCACAAAGAAACACAUUACCCAGCCACCAUUAUUUGGGCAAUGGGAUUAUGUAUACAAGUCCAGAAGUCUACAGAGUCCCAAUUCAGAUUUAUUUCCUUAAGUAAUGGACUAUUUAUCUAAGCACUUAUUAGCUGAAUAAUAAUUAGCUGAAGCGGAUGGAAGACUGUCUCACCUUAAACCACGACAGCAAGGGAAUAAAUAGUAACGAUCGCAGCAGCUGCAUACGCUAACACUUUGGGUAGAAACUUUAACUUGAGGCUCAUAUAAAGGGUUUUCUUUGUUUUAAAUUACAAGUGGAGCCAUUACCCAAAGGUGCAGUCCUCCCAAGAGAAACAAACUGAAACAAUGAGAAACCUGUAGGCAGGAAGUACUGAAGCAGGACGGUGGGUUCAAAUAUCAAAGGCCACAUUUCGUAAGGUGUAAGUCAUACCUUUCUACAUCAUAAACUGCUGUCCUCCUACUUGGAAAGGAAGUCGCCAUCUUUUCCUCCUUCCACGAGCUACUUCUGAUGAUUACUCAGUGUUUACUUGACCUAGCAAUGAGCUCUAAAGCCCUCAGCCACUCUAACACAGACAGAGCGAUUGCACGCACAGCUCUGAGUCCCGCUGCACAGCUCUGGUUGAGCAAGACUUGUCCUCCUGCACUGAGCUAACCCAGCAGAGGUGCUACCACCAGGACGUUCGAAACCUCUACCUUUUAGCGGUACUGGGGUAACCGUGGCAUGCAGAUCUUCCUCUGCUCUGUUUUUAAGCACUGUGCACUCUCAUUUAUUUGCGAAACAUUUCAAAAUAAUAUCAGUUGUUUCUGAUUGUAAUCCUUUUAUAAAUAAAUUAUGUAUGUUACUGAUGAAACAGUUCAGUUUACAAUAAUGCAGUUUAACACAAGAAAAGUUGAGCAAGUUAAGGUAUCACACUUCUUUUCACCCCAUGAAACUGCUUAGGGUGUGCAACACCCAGCUGAUUUCUGCUGUGAUAUUCACACUCUACUGUAGAGAAGCUACAGUGAGAAAAAUAAAUGAAUAUCUUUCAUUCUGAUUUGAAAUUGCUUGGAGAAGUCUGUGCAGGAAUCCAUGCUGCACAUCUGAAUUAUUCAGAUAGAGUUUAAUUGUCCACUUACUCUGUGAAAGGAAGGGAUAGCUCAUAGCGCCCUUCGUAGCUGAAAGGAAGCUAUCAACGUUGCAGGAGAAAGAAUUCAUUAUAUUCCUCCCAGUAUUUUUUAAACUUUCCUAUUCUUGAACUGAAGCAUUGACUUCUCUUGACUAUCUGUUCAGACCAUUUAUAAUCAAUGUGUGCAGAUUAAACAAGAAAUCUCUCCUUCCCGGCUGUGCAAGCACUGAUCACAAUAAGCAGUCCCUAAGACCCAUAAUUUUCAGCUUUGCAGAACUUUUGCAGUGAAGCUGUACUUAACAGACCUCAUAGUUACACAGCAGAAGGCAAUCUUUGCUCCUUUAAAAUGAACAUAGUGCUAGAAAAAAAUAAACAAACACUGUGCCAGAAGAGGUAAGAAAAAGCACUUCUCAGUUAAACUAAGAAAUCAGAGCUCAAAAGAAGUAACUAUAAUGCUAGGUUUUAUAUAAACUGGUUUAACAUAGGUUUCACUACCUAUAUGCCUUAUUGUAUAGGUUUAGCAUGAUAGACGUGAUAUCAAACGGGGUGUGAAAUGCACAGAAAUAUAAUAAUUCAACAAAUGAUAGGUAAAAUAUUUUUUUUUUUGCCUCUAUUGACAGUUGUCUUUGAAAAAACACUGCUACACAACCUUGAUAAUUAUUAGCUAAAUCUUUGCUAAAAUCUCUCUUUAAAAUGCCCUUUGGCUGUAGAAGUUUUAUGAAUUGUCCAUUGAGGAAGAAACUAGGAUGAAGAACACCCCAAUUUCAAUUCUCAGGUAUGUUAUACAUACAAUAAUGUUACAUCUAAUCAAGCACCACCAGCUUUCUUCUUGGAAAUUAUUCAUCAUCUGUUGUAGAGGUUUUCAGCAAGUGAGCUGUGGUGCUCUUAUACAGAUAUUUCCCUUAUAAAAUUAUAAUAUUUAAAGUAGUUAAAAGCCUGAUGCAAAUCUGUUGUUGCAAAUGCAUCUGAAAUUAUUCUGAAUCUGUCAGAAUAUUAGAACCAAUUGCCAUUAUUUGUAUUACACCAGCUUUCAUAAGUAUAUUUUAUAUUGCACUUCCAGGAAGCACUUGUUUACAAAGAUGGAUGGUGCCCACAUUUAUCAUAUUGAUAGUGCUUACCGUAUCUAUUUCUGUGGGUGGUUAUUAAAUAUUUUAUUUAUUGCUGCACACAGCUGAUCUGAUUGCCAUUAGUGAGACAUAUUGAUAAAGUUACUGUGGGAGACUGAUGCCGGUAACAUAUUUAAGACCGAGAAAAGCUUACUAUUUUAUGUGUACAAGUGAUACUGUAUGCAACUCUUGUUUCAUCAGUAAAAACCCAAACAGGCCUGAAUAUAAAAUGCUGUUUUCAACUUAGUCACAAGAAUGUUAAGAAUUUCUUUUUAAGAUUUCUGUGUCUUCCUUGUCCACAGGGAGCAGCAACCCUAGCAGUAUAUUGCUAAAUUCAAAGAUUGCUCUCAUAUCAUCUUAUUAAUAAAACUGUCAGUCACAACACUGGUCGUACAUUUUGCUGUAGAUUUUCUCUUUAUU